UAUGUUAAUUUUCCAUAUGUAUGUCUUCUUAAUUGAGGUCUUCGUUAAAGUCUUUGGCCAAUUUUUUAAUCAGAUUUCUUUUUAAUUUGUUGAAUUUUACAUGUUUUUUAUAUAUUUUGGAAAAUUAUCCUUCAUCUCUGGUUCAAACGCCUCUGGAACUAUGUUCACUAUUUUGGUGACAGGUUAAAUAGAAGCCCAAACCCCAGCAUUACACAAUAUAUCCAUGUAACAAACCUGCACAUGUACCACCUGAAUCAAAAUUCAAAAAUAAAACAAAACAAACAAACAAGCAAAAAAACAUUGCCAAGACCAAUGUCAUGGAGCUUUUGCCCUAGGUUUUCUUCUGGGAGAAGCAGUUCUAAGAGAGGACAUCCUUACCUUGUUCCUGAUCUUAGUGGGAAAGCUUCUAGGUUCUUACUAUUAUGUAUGUGGUUUUUUAAAAAAAUUUAGCACUACCUAUUUUCUGGUACUAUAAAUUGCUCCUGGAUCAUUUAUAUCUCAAAUAGGGCAGUCAAGAUAAACCUCCAUAGUGAGGCAUCAUUUGAACAGAGAAGAGAAUAAAAAUAAAUUAACAUUGGAGAAAAGAGCAUUGCAGGAGCAGCAGUGGAAAAAGUUUCUCAUGCAGUUGAGAACAGUUGCUCUGGCAGAUUUAAGCAUGAUCAAAGAUGACAAGGCCAGUGAAGCUGUGCCAGUCAUGAGUGAGUGCCAGGAGAGAAGAUCAAAUGGAGAGAUAGUGUAGGGCCAGAUCUUGGGGUUUUGUAGUAAGAACUUUACACAUUCUUCUCCAUGUCAUG
rnacentral:lncRNA from 1 species